rnacentral:rRNA from 1 species
GAUGAACGCUGGCGGCGUGCCUAAUACAUGCAAGUCGAGCGAACGGACGAGAAGCUUGCUUCUCUGAUGUUAGCGGCGGACGGGUGAGUAACACGUGGAUAACCUACCUAUAAGACUGGGAUAACUUCGGGAAACCGGAGCUAAUACCGGAUAAUAUUUUGAACCGCAUGGUUCAAAAGUGAAAGACGGUCUUGCUGUCACUUAUAGAUGGAUCCGCGCUGCAUUAGCUAGUUGGUAAGGUAACGGCUUACCAAGGCAACGAUGCAUAGCCGACCUGAGAGGGUGAUCGGCCACACGGGAACUGAGACACGGCCCAGACUCCUACGGGAGGCAGCAGUAGGGAAUCUUACGCAAUGGGGGAAAGCCUGACGGAGCAACGCCGCGGGAGUGAUGAAGGUCUUCGGAUUGGAAAACUCUGUUAUUAGGGAAGAACAUAUGUGUAAGUAACUGUGCACAUCUUGACGGUACCUAAUCAGAAAGCCACGGCUAACUACGUG